GGGGUGGUGGCUCAGUUGGAAGAGCAGCUGCUUAACAUGCAGAAGGUCCCAGGUUCAAUCCCCAGCAUCUCCA
rnacentral:tRNA from 1 species